rnacentral:rRNA from 1 species
GUCUGAUCUCCGAAGCUAAGCAGGGUUGGGCCCGGUUAGUACCUGGAGGGGA